CUAUAACAACAAUCUGCAUUUCACAGUAAGUGAUAUUUAUAGUCCAUUGAAUACCACUGAAAAGGAGUUCCCAGUAAGGGAUGUGCAUAAUAAAUCAGGCCACCUAAGCAUUGUUGGCAGUCACAUCCAACAUCAUAUCCCUGGCUAAAUGUGCUCUGCUUAGAGCAACUCCAGCAGGAACUCAGACAGCUAAUGUGUGUGUGUUUUUGUAGGUAAAAAGCUGGAGCAUCUUCCUUACUAGAGAACCAUGAUGUGAACACUCAGAGCUCUUUCUCCACUCUUUCUACCUCAAAGCCUACUGUGUGCAGUCAACACAGGAAAUUGACUCUUUGGGUGUGGCAACUCUGUGGUAGAGACAAUGGAAUCACAGAAAAGAAAAGGGAGGCAAGUCCUGAAUCACACACCACAGUCAGAAAAAUGAAGAGAAACCAGCAGUGGAGUCUGAAAACAUGCAGACAGUGAAGGAUGAGGGGAAAGUGAUGUCCUGGAAGCCAAAUGAAGACAUUCUUUCAAAAAAGAGUGAUCAGAUACGUCAACUGCUGUGAGAUCAGUAAGAAGAGGAGCUUGAAGUAACCAUUUAUCCUGUUUUCCUUUAUUUAAUUUGUAUUUAUUUUUAUUAGUGAUAGGGUCUUGCUAUGUUGCUUGGGGUGGACUCAGACUCCUGGGCUCAAGCAGUCCUCCCAUCUCAGCUUCCUGAGUAGCUGGGACAACAGGCAUGUGCCACUGUGCUAGGCUUAAUAAUAAUUUAUUGGUCAGGCAGGAUAGUUCAUGUAAUCCCAGGAGUUUGGGAGGCAGAGGUGGAAGAUUCACUUGAGUCUGGGAGUUCAAGACCAGUCUCAGCAAUGUAGUGAAACCUCUUCUUUACAAAAUUAAAAAAUUAUCUGGGCAUAGUGGUGAAUGCUUGUGGUCCCAGCUACUCUGGAGGCUGAGGCAGGAGGAUUGCUUGAACCCAGGAGUUGGAGGCUGUAGUGAGCCAUGAUGCUGCCACUGUAUUCAUUCUGGGUGACACAGAACUUCUCUCAACAAAACUAAACAAAAUAAAUGUAUUUUGGUAUCAAGGAGGUGAUUGUAU
rnacentral:lncRNA from 13 species